rnacentral:rRNA from 1 species
AGUCUGGUGCCAGCAGCCGCGGUAAUUCCAGCUCUCAAAAUGCAUAGAAUCAUUGCUGCGGUUAAAAAGCUCGUAGUUGGAUCUGUGCUGGCGGGUCGGUCCACCUUCGGGUGCGCACUGAUUUCGCCGGCUUUCCUGCUGUAUUUGGCCCUGUGCCUUUCAACGGGUGCAGUGUCCAGUGCAGCAAGUUUACCUUGAACAAAUCAGAGUGCUUCAAACAGGCGUUUCGCUUGAAUGUUCGUGCAUGGAAUAAUAGAAGAGAAUUUCGGUUCUAUUUUAUUGGUUUUAUAGACUGAGAUAAUGGUUAACAGAGACUAACGGGGGCAUUAGUAUUGCUACGUGAGAGGUGAAAUUCUUGGACCGUAGCAAGACUGACUACAGCGCGAGCAUUUGCCAAGAAAGUCUUCAUUAAUCAAGAACGAAAGUCAGAGGUUCGAAGGCGAUCAGAUACCGCCCUAGUUCUGACCGUAAACGAUGCCAACUAGUGAUCCGCCGGUGGAACAUUCGCCCUGGUGGGGAACUUCCCGGAAACGAAAGUCUUCCGGUUCCGGGGGAAGUAUGGUUGCAAAGCUGAAACUUAAAGGAAUUGACGGAAGGGCACCACCAGGAGUGGAGCCUGCGGCUUAAUUUGACUCAACACGGGAAAACUCACCCGGCCCGGACACCGUAAGGAUUGACAGAUUGAUAGCUCUUUCAUGAUUCGGUGGAUGGUGGUGCAUGGCCGUUCUUAGUUCGUGGAGCGAUUUGUCUGGUUUAUUCCGAUAACGAGCGAGACUCUGGCCUACUAAAUAGUUUACACAUUGCUUCUGUGUGCAUAACUUCUUAGAGGGAUUUUCGGUGUUCAGCCGCAAGAAAUUGAGCAAUAACAGGUCUGUGAUGCCCUUAGAUGUCCGGGGCUGCACGCGCGCUACACUGGCAAAAUCAGCGUGCUUGUCCUUCCCCGAAAGGGGUUGGUAAACUCGUGAAAAUUUGCCGUGAUUGGGAUCGGAAAUUGCAAUUAUUUUCCGUGAACGAGGAAUUCCAAGUAAGUGCGAGUCAUCAACUCGCGUUGAUUACGUCCCUGCCCUUUGUACACACCGCCCGUCGCUGCCCGGGACUGAGCCGUUUCGAGAAACUUGGAGACCGCUGAUCUGGUAACUUCGAUUGCCAUUUUGGUGGGAACCAAUUUAA